GAUGAACGCUGGCGGCGUGCCUAAUACAUGCAAGUCGAGCGAACAGAUGAGGAGCUUGCUCCUCUGACGUUAGCGGCGGACGGGUGAGUAACACGUGGAUAACCUACCUAUAAGACUGGGAUAACUUCGGGAAACCGGAGCUAAUACCGGAUAAUCUAUUGAACCGCAUGGUUCAAUAGUGAAAGACGGUUUUGCUGCCACUUUUAGAUGGUUCCGCGCCGCAUUAGCUAGUUGGUAAGGUAACGGCUUACCAAGGCAACGAUGCGUAGCCGACCUGAGAGGGUGAUCGGCCACACUGGAACUGAGACACGGUCCAGACUCCUACGGGAGGCAGCAGUAGGGAAUCUUCCGCAAUGGGCGAAAGCUUGACGGAGCAACGCCGCGUGAGUGAUGAAGGUCUUCGGAUCGUAAAGCUCUGUUAUUAGGGAAGAACAAAUGUGUAAGUAACUAUGCACGUCUUGACGGUACCUAAUCAGAAAGCCACGGCUAACUACGUG
rnacentral:rRNA from 1 species